rfam:Ajellomyces capsulatus NAm1 scaffold_248 genomic scaffold, whole genome shotgun sequence.
CACCCAAAACAACACACUAACUCACUCACACAAACACUCCUCUCCACGACUCUCCCACUACAUAUAUAUAUAGAUAUAUAUACGCACACACAUUCUCUCAAGUUCUUCAGGCCCAUUGUCCAAGGAAAUUACCCGCCGGCUUGCGCCCUUCGUCCGGAAUUAACCUGUCGUUGUUCGAAUCGCGACACCAUUCGCGAAUUUGUUGCAUUCCUCCUGGGGAGCCUCAUGGCCUUCACUGGCUGUGGGGGGAACCAGGACUUUUACUGUGAAAAAAUUAGAGUGUUCAAAGCAGGCCUUUGCUCGGAUACAUUAGCAUGGAAUAAUAGAAUAGGACGUGUGGUUCUAUUUUGUUGGUUUCUAGGACCGCCGUAAUGAUUAAUAGGGAUGGUCGGGGGCGUCAGUAUUCGGCUGUCAGAGGUGAAAUUCUUGGAUUUGCUGAAGACUAACUACUGCGAAAGCAUUCGCCAAGGAUGUUUUCAUUAAUCAGUGAACGAAAGUUAGGGGAUCGAAGACGAUCAGAUACCGUCGUAGUCUUAACCAUAAACUAUGCCGACUAGGGAUCGGACGGGGUUCUUAUGAUGACCCGUUCGGCACCUUACGAGAAAUCAAAGUUUUUGGGUUCUGGGGGGAGUAUGGUCGCAAGGCUGAAACUUAAAGAAAUUGACGGAAGGGCACCACAAGGCGUGGAGCCUGCGGCUUAAUUUGACUCAACACGGGGAAACUCACCAGGUCCAGACAAAAUAAGGAUUGACAGAUUGAGAGCUCUUUCUUGAUCUUUUGGAUGGUGGUGCAUGGCCGUUCUUAGUUGGUGGAGUGAUUUGUCUGCUUAAUUGCGAUAACGAACGAGACCUUAACCUGCUAAAUAGCCCGACCCGCGUGUGCGGGCCGCUGGCUUCUUAGAGGGACUAUCGGCUCAAGCCGAUGGAAGUUUGAGGCAAUAACAGGUCUGUGAUGCCCUUAGAUGUUAUGGGCCGCCCGAGCGGUACACUGACAGGGCCAGAGAGUACAUCACCUCCCCACGGGGUCAGCGUAAUCUUGUUAAGCCCAAUCCCACACAGAUACAGCAGAAUCCACCACAC